rnacentral:rRNA from 1 species
GAUGAACGCUGGCGGCGUGCCUAAUACAUGCAAGUCGAGCGAACAGACGAGAGUGCUUGCACUCUCUGACGUUAGCGGCGGACGGGUGAGUAACACGUGGGUAACCUACCUAUAAGACUGGGAUAACUUCGGGAAACCGGAGCUAAUACCGGAUAAUAUUUAGCUUCGCAUGAAGCAAUAGUGAAAGACGGUUCUGCUGUCACUUAUAGAUGGACCCGCGGUGUAUUAGCUAGUUGGUGAGGUAACGGCUCACCAAGGCAACGAUACAUAGCCGACCUGAGAGGGUGAUCGGCCACACUGGGACUGAGACACGGCCCAGACUCCUACGGGAGGCAGCAGUAGGGAAUCUUCCGCAAUGGACGAAAGUCUGACGGAGCAAUGCCGCGUGAGUGAAGAAGGUUUUCGGAUCGUAAAACUCUGUUGUAAGGGAAGAACAAGUACGUUAGUAACUGAACGUACCUUGACGGUACCUUACCAGAAAGCCACGGUUAACUACGUG